rnacentral:rRNA from 1 species
CCUACGGGUGGCAGCAGUAGGGAAUUUUGCGCAAUGGGCGAAAGCCUGACGCAGCAACGCCGCGUGAUCGAGACGCCCUUCGGGGUGUAAAGAUCUGUCAGUGGGGACGAAACUUGACGGUACCCACAGAGGAAGCACCGGCUAACUCCGUGCCAGCAGCCGCGGUAAUACGGGGGGUGCAAGCGUUGUCCGGAAUCAUUGGGCGUAAAGAGUUCGUAGGCGGCACGUAAAGUCUGGUGUUAAAGGCAGAGGCUCAACUUCUGUACGGCACUGGAUACUUGCGAGCUAGAAUGCGGUAGAGGUAAAGGGAAUUCCUGGUGUAGCGGUGAAAUGCUUAGAGAUCAUACAGAACACCGAUUGCGAAGGCAGCUUACCAAGCUACUUCUGACGUUGAGGCACGAAAGCGUGGGGAGCAAACAGGAUUAGAUACCCGAGUAGUC